UUGGUCGUAGCUCAACGGGCAGAGCGCCGCGCCGUGAACGCGGACGUUGCGGGUUCGAGUCCCGCCGACCGAC
rnacentral:tRNA from 1 species